CCAUCUUCACUUCACAUGCAACAACAAGACUCCAACAUUUCGUAAAAUACUAGAAAGGAAAAUUAAAAAAACCUAACCCCCAUGUGAAACAUGUAGAUACCCAUCUAUACCUUAUCAACUGUUUAAACACGUCUGAUAGACUUCCUUACAUUUCAACCACCCCAGAAUAAGUAAUUAAAAUGAUAGAAUAUCUUGUGGUGCAUGCCCUAAAGCUGAAGGACAUCUCACAUGCAAUGAACCCACCACCACCCUUUACCAGUACGCAAUACCAAGC
rnacentral:lncRNA from 1 species